rnacentral:rRNA from 1 species
CUAGUCCUACGGGAGGCAGCAGUGGGGAAUAUUGGACAAUGGGGGGAACCCUGAUCCAGCGACGCCGCGUGAGUGAAGAAGUAUUUCGGUAUGUAAAGCUCUAUCAGCAGGGAAGAAAAUGACGGUACCUGACUAAGAAGCCCCGGCUAACUACGUGCCAGCAGCCGCGGUAAUACGUAGGGGGCAAGCGUUAUCCGGAUUUACUGGGUGUAAAGGGAGCGUAGACGGUGAUGCAAGUCAGAAGUGAAAGCCCG